UGUGGCCUCACAAAAGACCAUGUGAGUACACGUGAGCCACGUGAGGAGAGAGAGAACAGGGUAAGAACUGCUCCAGUGCAAGCCUCUCCUUGCUUCCCUCUCUACUCUACACCAUCCCACCUUGAGCUGAACCAGUGGUUUUCCCACAACAAAGCUGACUGUGAAGACUGGGGAGAAUAAAGGGAAGAAGGGGAAAGACAAGCCCAGUUCCAGGGAGCAGGUGGAGCCUGGUGACGUGACCUGUCGAUUUAUCUUCUAACACAAUGGAAGACCACCUGUAUAUCUAUUCCUGACUAAAACUGACCCGCUAAAAGAAAGCCGCAGGAGAGAGGAUCCUGUCUGUGCCAUGGCACGUAGCAUUGACGUGGCUGUCCCGGCCCAGCCUGCCAGCUCAGAAGGAGAAGGGAGUUUGUGGUGAAGAUGGGCAUCUGCUGACUCUCUGCACGAGUGCUGGAGCCUGGCCCUGGGGGAUCUGCCAAUGUCUUCCUCCGUAGUUGCUCUUCUGAGAAUGAAAC